rnacentral:misc_RNA from 1 species
CCAAUAGCGUAUAUUAAAGUUGCUGCAGUUAAAAAGCUCGUAGUUGAAUUUCGGGACUAAUAUGUCGGUCGUGCCUCGGUACGUACUGGUAUUUUUGGUUUCUCCCUUCUGACGAACCUUGAUGUCAUUAAUUUGGUGUCUUGGGAAAUCAGGACUGUUACUUUGAAAAAAUUAGAGUGUUUAAAGCAGGCUCACGCUUGAAUACAUUAGCAUGGAAUAAUGAAAUAGGACGUUUGAUUCUAUUUUGUUGGUUUCUAGGAUCGACGUAAUGAUUAAUAGGGUUAGUUGGGGGCAUUAGUAUUCAAUUGUCAGAGGUGAAAUUCUUGGAUUUAUUGAAGACUAACUACUGCGAAAGCAUUUGCCAAGGAUGUUUUCAUUAAUCAAGAACGAAAGUUAGGGGAUCGAAGACGAUCAGAUACCGUCGUAGUCUUAACCAUAAACUAUGCCGACUAGGGAUCGGAUGAUGUUAAUUUUUUAAUGACUCAUUCGGCGCCUUACG